GGCAACGUGGCCGAGUGGUUAAGGCGCUGUGUUUAGGCCGCAGUUCGAAAGAUCAUCGGUUCGAAUCCGGUCGUUGUCA
rfam:Aspergillus versicolor CBS 583.65 unplaced genomic scaffold ASPVEscaffold_1, whole genome shotgun sequence.